GUGAGGAAUAUUGGACAAUGGGCGCAAGCCUGAUCCAGCCAUGCCGCGUGCAGGAAGAGGCAUCUAUGGUGUGUAAACUGCUUUUGUACGGGAAGAAACACUCCCUCGUGAGGGAGCUUGACGGUACCGUAAGAAUAAGGAUCGGCUAACUCCGUGCCAGCAGCCGCGGUAAUACGGAGGAUCCAAGCGUUAUCCGGAAUCAUUGGGUUUAAAGGGUCCGUAGGCGGUUUAAUAAGUCAGUGGUGAAAGCCCAUCGCUCAACGAUGGAACGGCCAUUGAUACUGUUAGACUUGAAUUACAAGGAAGUAACUAGAAUAUGUAGUGUAGCGGUGAAAUGCUUAGAUAUUACAUGGAAUACCAAUUGCGAAGGCAGGUUACUACUUGUGGAUUGACGCUGAUGGACGAAAGCGUGGGGAGCGAACAGGAUUAGAAACCCCAGUAGUCC
rnacentral:rRNA from 1 species